rnacentral:tRNA from 1 species
AAUAAAAUGGCUGAGUUAAGCGAUAAAUUGUAAAUUUAUUUACGAAAUAAUUUUUCUUUUAUUA